UACUAGUUUCUAAAUCACGAUUAUAAUAUUUGAUUCUUUGUCAUAUUUAAUGCAUUUAACUAUAGGGACUUUACCAUUUCGGUUAUUUGUAUUUUAGUUUAAUUUCAAGAUGGAUUCUCUAUUUUAAAUAAUUUAUUUUUAGAAUUUGUGAUUUGUGAAAUGGUUAAAAAUAGUUUUUUAAACUCGAAUUCAGACAAAAUAUUUUUAAACAUAACUCCAUAAAGAUCAAUGUCUGUCAACACAUUUUGACUGAAUUCGAAUUUAGGAACUGUAUUUAACUAUUUGACAAAAUACAUAGUGUAAAAAUAUAUUUUUUAUAAUAAAAUGUCUAUCGACCCAAAUUAAUAUAAACCCUUAAAUAUAAACUAAUACUUAAAUAUAAACUAAUACAGUACAAAUAUGUUCGAUCGAUAAUCUUAGAAUAGAAAGAUUAUAUGUCAACUUGAUACACAACAGUUGUAUGUGAGUAGGAAACAGAAGCAAAACUUAAGAAGACAAUAGCAAAACUAUGGAAAUUAGGGAGAAACUUUAUUAAAAUAUUAGAAAGAAAAAUCCAAAAUAUUCAGCCUAGGGCUAAAUUACAUUAAUCCAAGCAUUCCUUAACCCUUCUCAUUUCUCUUUAAUUAAUCCCCUAAACUUUCCUAAACAAAUCCAGAAUUCAAAUCAGGUAACUAAACAAAACACAACUGAAAAUAAAAAGAAGCAAGUAAAUAAAAUCAUAAACUCCCAUAAAUAACUAAUCCCAAAUCUAUUCCUUAAUUACACAAUAUCUCCCAGUAUAAGGAUAUCGUGUUGGUGGUCUAUCAUUACCCGCUGCCCAAAUUUCACCUUGCCCUCAAGGUGGAAAAGAAGGAACUGUGGCAACAAGUGGGCCAGAUUCAUUGGCUGUAGGUCCAUCAAUGGCCUCCUCAUCAUCUCCAGGAUCAAUAUCUUGCAUCUAGAUCACUUGUAACUCUUUCAUCUUGCAACGAUGACUAGGAGAAUACCUCUCAUCACACUUGUAGCACGAGCUACGUGCACGCUUCUACUGGAUUUUUGCUUCAGAUAGUCGACGAAAGGUUGGUUCAUCUUUGGUGAUUGUCGUGUGUGGAGAACACUCGGUUGGGGUUGAGAAAGUCGAAGUCCCAGAGGAGAACCCGAUAUUGCGAGUAAAGCUGGUAGGGCAUUGGGCCAUCAAAUUGGCUUCAAUCUUUUGGGCCAGCUCCAUAACUUGCUCAAGCCCACUAGUUCAAAGGACAAUAAUCUCAUACCCUAAAUCAGCUUGCAGCCCAUUAAUAAGCGUGGAUUCUAGAACUUGUUCUGAUAUUCCUUCUAGCAAUGAAGUGAGCAAUUCGAAUCGCUUUCUAUAUUCACAAACGAUACAAUCCUGCUUCAAGGCUAGAAACUCAUGAUACAUAGAGCCUGUUGGGAGAGGCCGGAACCGACGAAUCAUCUGGGUCUUCGAGUCUUCCCACGUCACAAAGGAACGUCAGCGAUGCUCCCAUUGGAACCAGUUCAAGAAUCAAGCUAAUAACUGUUGUCUCCAAACUAUCGCUGCCAGUCAUGCGAUGAAUUUCAAAAUAGCGCUCAGCUUUCAAGAGCCAACGAUCUGGAUUUUCACCAUCAAAAGAGGAGAGUUCAAUUCUCCAUGGUCAGAUGUCCCAGCAGGGAGUCGCGAGAGUCACACAAUACCCCCCAAGAGUUGGCACUACUACCGUCCACAUCAGCAACUUCCCGACGCGAGCAACCGUGCCCCUUCACCCACCUCCAUUUUUACCCGUUGCAGUGGACUGGUCACGAUCCUCCAAGAUCAGCUCAAGUCAGCGUUCCUCUUGUCAUUGAAGGAACAUGUCAAAGCGAGUAACCAAGGUGGAAAUCCCUUGUUCCAAAGCAGGAAACUUCUUCAAUUGCUCUGUCAUGACACCAUCUCUUCCACCGCUUCUACCCGAGUCUCCUGGUCACCAUGGGAUUCGAUCUCAGACGACGCAUAUUGAUACACGACAGUUGUAUGUCACCAAGAAACAAAAGCAAAACAUAAAAAGACAAUAGAAAAAUUGAGGAGAUUAGGGAUAAACUUUAUUGCUAUAUCAAAAAAAAAAUCUAGGAUAUUCAUGAACCUGGUUUCUCUCCAGCCUAGGGCUCAAUUACAGUAGUCCAAGCAUGCCCUAAUCCUUCCCAUCUCUCCCUAUGUAAUCCCCUAAACUUUCCUAAACAAACCCAGAAUUCAGAACAGGUAACUAAACAAAACAGAACCAAAAAUUAAAACCAGAUGGUAAAUAAAAUCAUGGGUGCAAAAUGACAUUUUUUUUACAGCUAUUUUGGAUUCUAGCAUAGUUUUGAUAAUUCUAUGCAAAAUAAUCUUUAAAAAUUUAGACAACUAAUCAAAAAUUUUAGACAACUAAUCAAAAUAUUCGGACAGUCUGGUCGAAAAUUUUACUACUACAAAAAAGGCCUUUUAGGGCUCGUAUUACGAGCCCUAUAUGAAUGCUUUUAGGGCUUGCGUUAUGUGUCCUAAAAUAUCUCGUUGAGUGUCUUUAAAUAAAGCUUUUAGGGCUCUCUUCGUAUGUCCUAAAAGAAAUUUUUUAGGAUACGCAAUGCAUGCCCUUAAAAAUUAUAUUUUUAAUUUUUAAAAAAUUAAUUUAUAUUUAUUUUAAAUUAAAAAUUAUGAUUUUAAUGAAAUAUUUAUAUACAAAUCUAAAAACUUGUAGAUUAAAAUAACAAAACUUAUAAAUUCAAUGACAUAUAUAAUUACAAAUCAAAAAUAAUAAUUUUGGAACAAAUAUAAAUAAUCAAUCUUGUGGCAUUUAUAAUACAAAACUAAGAAAUCUAAUAAUAAUAAAUUGAGUUAAAGAUGGAAACCAUAAUAUCAUUACUUGGCUUGAUGACGGAUUCUUCAAGCAACUUCUUCUUCCUUUUGCAAAUUUUUGACUUUCUAGAGGUUCUAUGAGGAACCUAAAAAUUUAUCAAUAAGAAAUUAGGAAGAUUAUAAAGUGUAAAAAAAUUACAUACAUAAAUAAGAUGGCUGUCCAAAUAAGUAUAGAUUCCUUUACACGUAGCUAAUAAACUAGACCCAAAAUUGCUCUUUCUAGGCAUAGCAACUAUCCUCUACAAUUGGAAAGAAAAAGGGCAGCUGCAACUUUUACAAGGGACAAGUAUAUCAUAAAACUAGAAGGCAUCAUGUAUUACAAAAAAUAGAGAUACAUUAUGGAAUUGCAAAAACUAGAACAAGAGUGCAAUAUUAUUCUUUAGGCAUUCAGACAAACACAUAAUGUGCAAACCAAGAAAGACAUGUGUAACACAAGAAUAAGACUACAAAAACACAUCUAUAAUUAACAAGAACAAAUUAACCAGAAGUAAGAGAGAUACAAGGAUAAUGAUUUAGAAUAUCAUCCCUAUAUAUCAAUGUUGACGCCGUUUUUCGUCAACUUAAAAUGUAGAGCAAUUAAACAAUAAGAACUAUGGCGCAGAUAAAUAAUACAGUAGAACAACAAGAAUUUUACGUGGUUCAGCAGUUAACUCUGCCUAGUCCACGAGUCUAUUUUAUUAAGACUUUGGAGUUUUUUGGAAAUCUUUCAAGGAUGAAUUCUCCGAAAUUUCUCUCAAGAUAUCAAAAGAUCUGUCCUUUACAAAUGUUCAUGACCUCUCUAUUUAUAGAGGGUUCUCAGAGUUCAUUCCCACAUAUUUCGGGAAGAUACUCCUAUUUAUUAAUGAAAAUAAAGAUAUUAAAUUAUGUAACUCCUAUAUACAAGGAAACGUCCCCUGAAGACCAGGAGGCGUAUAACAGACUUGUUAAUAUCCCUUUAAUGUUGGGAUGUUACAACAAUAAAUAUCUUUAAAUGCAUGGAACGCAUCUUAUCAGAUGACCCAUUAAAUCGUUCGAGGUCGGCAAUCAGCAUCAUGUUGGUCCAGGUCUAUAGAUAAGUUAUGAGCUAGCCCCUUUACCCGAAGACCAGCUCAGAGCGGGUAAAUACCAUGGAGGCCGUUACACUCCGAGCUUAUACUCCUGCCAAGCUCGGGCUACUUGAUCCGAAGACAACCAACAACGAAUAUACCCCGAUGCUAAUUUCUUUCGAGCAAAGAAAGAACUUCGAGGUUAAAAUGCCUUCGAGGUUGCCAUCUUGAUUCGAGGGUUCGACAUCUGGGCCAUGCACAUGCAUUUUAGAUAUCUCGAUCUCACAAUUGACGAGUCCAACUUUCGUGAUCACAAUCUUGGGUCUCAAAAUCUGGGUGUAACAUUUUGCCCCCUCAAAAGUAUUAGUUCGAAUCCUAUGAGAAGGAAACUUUUGAACUACUUCCUUCGGGAACUGUUCCGUCACACACUCGAGUAUGGACACACGUCAGUUGGGUAUUGUUCAUUUAAGGUACUUGAGUGCCUUGAAACUCUGCCCAUGUUUAUCCGCCUGCCUUCCUUUUAGGGUACCAUCAUUUCAUUAUUCCCUGACCGCUAGAUCUGAUACGGGAUCUGGCCAAUGGCCCAGAUUAGUUCAACUUUUAUCAUCCCCAUGGGCCUAUAAAUAAGUUUCUGGUUGUCUUCUCCAUUUUUCCUUUACGUUCAAACUUUUAGAGAGAGAAAACCAGAAUCGUUCUUGUCCAAUUCUUGCAUGUUCUCCAAGCCGAGAAGACAAAGCACGGUUGGACUUUUUGACUCAGUGAGAUCUUACUUGCAACCGCUCGUUCAAUCAUCCAUUUCUCUGUUUCCACCGAUUACAUUGUGUAAGUUUUCAGUUUAUGGCUUCUUUGCGUUAUAUAUAUACAUUUUUUUUUGUAUGCUUAUGCUUCUGUUACAUCGUGGGUGCUAGGAUUUAUUCUCGACCCAUUCACUAGUUUAAUGCACUAGGAUUAGGGUGCUUCGACUGAUAGACAUUAGGCUCAAACCCAGUUUCUGCGAAAAAGGGUCCAAAAAUGGUUCCUUUUUUGGGUUUUCAAAUUUUAGAAACCAUAUCUUGCACACCAAGAUAUCGGGUACAAAAUCAGGGUUUUUUAAGGAAUGCACGAUUCCAAAAAAUAUCACCUUUUAGACAACCGCCACCUUUUUUCCCUAAUACUUCGGGAUUUACCAUAACAUAUCCACCUUCCUUCCUUUCGGUAGAAUACACGCUCUGAGAUUGGUCUCACCCUUUGGAUCGAGCUUGCCUUGUAGCCUCGAUCAUUCGAGCUUAGGUACUAUUUAUCUCUUUAUUUCUUGUUCGCUUGGCCCUCACCCUUUUUCUUUCUUGUUAGAUGCCGCAGAAUUCGGGAAAGUGGUGGGGGUCAAAGCUCGCAAUUCCUUACUCACCAGUAGCUUUGAGCCCGGAAUCUCCUUUCACUCGGAACCAACGCUUAAUUCAGGAGCACGAACUGAGACGUGAGCAAGAGGACACUCGAGACCACUUCUGACGUCAGAUAGACGAGGUCGAAGAAGGGAAAAGUAAAAGACUAAGGGUCGCCCUUCAUCCAGAUCCGGACACCAAGCCUAGACCGAUUCCUCUCGAUCCUACGCUUAAAGUUACAAUCGCCUUCAAGCCAGGUGAUCUUCAGUUUUCACUGAUGGGGGAACCCUCUACCUCGCAGCCGAGGAGAGAAUUUUUCGAGGCCGAGCAUUACUGGAGCUCGGUUACGUCACUAGGCUAGAUAACCCAUAUUCUGGCCUUUCAUGGCAUAGGACUAUCAGGCUCGCUAAGGUGUCGGGCCCCAACCUCCCACGAGCGGUGUUGUCGCGCUUCAGGAGAUGGAAAUCCUGACAGCAAGCUGAGAUACGCAGCUUGGAGCCAUGAGCAUAUGAAGGCAGGGGCAGUACUGCCCUUGAAGUCUUUUUUCAAGAACUUCACAGAUUUUGUUGGGCUGGCCCCUUUCCAGCUCAACACCAAUUCUUACAGGGUACUGUCUGCCCUGAGGUCGCUAUAUCACGAGUUGAAGUGGAUAGGACCUUCACCAGAGGAGAUUUUAUAUCUCUUCUACUUGAAAAGAAAUCCCUCCCGAGAUCGAGGAGGGGACGACUUCUACUACCUCUCGAGCUAUCCGAAGGAGAAGAAGAUGUUCAAGGAUCUUCCCAAUCAUCCUCUUGACUUCAAGAAGGCCUUCUUCUGGACAGAUGGUCUAGCCCCGUCUCGAUUCUAUUCGUUCAGACGGAUUCGUAAGUAUCUCAACCUCCUUCUUUUUUGUGCUCGAACUAUGUUUUUAGGCCCGUACUUAGUUGAAAUGCGUUUCAUUUUCCAUCCAACUACCAUCACCCUACCCCUACCAUGGAGACGAGGGAGCACAGAGAGACUCUGCUCCUACUUCCCUAUGGCAGGAGAUCCAUUUCCUAUGUCCUGCAUGAAGACAAGCUCCGGGCAUGUGAGCUCUUAGGGGAGGAUCAGUCUACAUCAGACUGGUCCAAUAAAAAAUACGACUGGUGGGAGCUCGUGCCUCUGCCAACCGGAAACCUCCCCCCAAGGAGAGAUGUGAGGCCUCCAUCUCUAGCUCGUCAUAGGAAUCCAUAAUUGGGGAAUGAGGCCAACGAUGAGGCCUCAAGUUCGGGCUCGGAUGAACAAGGUACAAUCAUCCUUAUCUUGAAUAUGUGGUCCCCCUCACUACUAAAACAUAGACCCGAUAGAUUAAUAUUGUGUGAGGAUGAUAGGAACCAUUUUUAUGUAUGGUCUUGGGUAGAUGAGAGGAUACAUAGCUUCGAUAGCUGGCUUGGGAAAUACGACACCAUGUAUAGCCUGAACGAGGUAUGGAACAGAAUAACCGUCCAAUACGGGACUAACAACUAUAGGGACCUUUCCAGGUUGAUGUCCACCUAAAGGGAAGGUACUCCCCCCGCCUCUUUUGAAGAUGGGGGAAUUUCGUGGUCGCCGAGCACAAGCUCAGGGGAGAGUUCCAGCGAGAUGGACUCCGACCUUGACAACAUCCUUGAGAGUGGCGGGGCCAAAAGAAGCAAACGCCUGAGAGGUUCAUGGAAGUCUGAGCGUCCCGCCAAGGUCCUCAAGAGAACUAAAAAGACACCUCCUCCACCAGCUCCAGCUGCUACGAGCUCGUCUGUGGAGCCGAAUCCUCAAGUCGAAGGGUCCACUACGGUCGAGCUCCAACCCCCUCCAAUCAUGGUUCACUCAACACUCGGCCCCCCUCCAAAAAAACCCUCAGUUUCCACACACGCAAGUUGUCGGUUUCUACUCACGUCGAUGAGUAUGUAAUUGACAAUGCUGCCAGAUCCCAUGGGGCUACACUAGGCUCGGACAUCCUGUCUCGAGUGGGUCAAAGCUUUAGUGGCUUCGACGCCCCACAUUGGCAGUUUUUGAACAACACCCGAGACUGCAAUACACUUUACGAGAGGAGUGUCGAGCUUACUGCUACGGCUCUUGCUGUCUCUGCCCAGCUUAAUUAUAAGCUGAACAACGAGAUCCACUCGAGCAUGUCCUUUGCUCAGGAGGCGAAGGAUCUCCAGCUCAAACUGAAUGACGAGCUCAAGGCAACAAAAGCUAAGAUGGAAGCAGGAGCUGAGGAGCUAAAGGCCAAAUCUUCCGAGCUUGAAAAGCUGAAUGCCUACCUCGCGGAGCUUUAACAAGAGAAUGGUCGGGUCAAGGAGACCAAUGCCAAGCUUGAAGAAGAGAAGGCCGCCACUUUCGAGAUCAUGGAAGGUGAAAAGAGUCGUCUUCUCGAGGAGUUUAAGGAGAAGAAGGAUCGGGCAGUCGACAUGGCCAUGUAUAGAAUCUAGGCCAACAAUGUCGACCUCGACACCAGCUUCUUAGGCCCUCUUGAAGCGAAGCUCAUGGCCCAAUGGCAGGCUCGGCUGGAUGAUGAGGAGACUACUCGAGAGGAGGCAGAGAGAGCCGAAGGGGACGCUGAUGCUGAGAAGGCCAAGGAGAAUGUUCCUCCUUCUUAAUUCUUGCCUCGAGGCUGUGUCCCUUUGAAUCUUUUGUAAUAGCCCUUUUUAUUAUUUUUUUUAUUUAUGCCCAUAGGGCCGAGACAAUUUUACAGCUCGUGAAAGAGCUGUCCUUUAUGAUAUUACUUUUUUGAAUUUACUUUAAUACACUUUGCUUUA